rnacentral:lncRNA from 1 species
CUCCCAGCCUGCAAUAACAAUCACAUCACCUCACCUCUGGCCCACACUUGGCCUUCUGCUGCUGCAGCAUGACAAACCACUGCACACCACCACCUCUUAUGCCCCCGGCUCAGCAGAAAGAUAAGGGCCUCUCCAGGGCUUUUGCUGCCUCCACCACCGUGGGUCAACAUCCAGGAAGGAAGACGUUUCUAAGGAAACCACGGAGGCUUUCCACCAAGGUGGUUGCAUGAAAGCGCUGAACUGGUGAGAGUGACAAAAAGCAGUUCAUUGGAUAAUGUAGAAAAAGGGCAUGGACAAAGCUUUACCUGAUUGUCUGGAGCCAGCAUAGAAAGGCAUAACUUUGGGCUUCUUAAGAUCUACAGAUGGAAACCUCCUGGCAGCGUGUGCAGAAACGAUCAGGUAACCGUCAGGGGAUGAGAGUAUCUGGUGACCAUUUCUGGCAUUGAAAAGGGAAAAAAAAAAAACAACCUUGUAUCAACACCACCUAAGGACUAAAUGGAAAAAGGCAAGGAAAGGGCCAUAAGGGGAAGAAAGGCACUGAGUGCCUCUGUACUUCAUCCUUCGCGUAAUUGUUUGAGUUGGAAGGGACCUUCAAAGGCCAUCUGGUCCAACUGCCCUGCAAUGAACAGGGAUGCUCACAGCUUGAUCAGGGUGCUCAGACGAGCAAUGGACAUGGCUGGAUCCAGUUGUUUUUCUCUUCACAAAAGUCCUUAGGUCCACAAGGACAACACGGGACAAAUCAAUCAUACAAGAUGGAUGGGGCCAUUGGGUGACGCUUGGGUGAAAACCGCUUCCAGAUUUCACACCAGCUUCGCUUUUGUGCUCCGGCUGAAAACACAGCUUUAUUGCAUGAGCAUAAGUAAUACAGGAAGGCACUUACCACUCCAUUUUGUGCAGCUUUUGUUUGUGAUAGUCUUAAUUUACUGCUGAAGUGAAUCCGAGACUGAUAAUUUUUAUGAUUUUUUACCGAGAAAAGACAUUAAGCUACUUACUUUGGCUGCACUUCCUACGCUGCAGAAAUUAUUUAUCCAAGCACAGCGGCAAAGUGGGUCAGGGGAGGA